CGUGGAUCGACGGAGCGGGCAGAACGUGCCCGAGGGUUGGAGGGCGAUGUGGGUUGCCGGGUAGACGGAUUGAGGGGUGGCUUCCAGGUGCCCCGCUGUGGCGCCCUGCAGCGGUCUCAAUCACGGCAGAAGCCCUUCCCAUCGCCGUUCAGGACGAGAAACCGACUCGGAAGGAAAUGGCCCUGCCGGAGGUCGCGUGUGGCACAGAGUUUGGCGCCAGCGAGCGUAAAGUGCGAUCGUGUCGCUACAGUUCUCCGCGUCUCAAGCUGCGGGAACACAGAGGCACUUUAAAACUCGAAACUCAACAUGCGGGACAGCGUGUCUCAGGCCGCGGAGUACGUGAAUGAUUGUGUAGGCACACGCGCGCGCGCGCGCACACAAGGGGAAACGCACAUCGCUGUAAUGAAAAGUGCCCGUUGAAAGUCAGAGUCUGCCGAAAGACACGAUUAUAGAUUGCAGCAAGGACAUGCAUUAUGUUUGUUGAUUAACUGUGGAUAACCCAACGAAUAAUAGAGUUCCAUUGUAAUGUAUAUGACUACAUUAACACCACCCCACCCCCGCCUCUGGGUUUCUCACCUGACUGGCUCACAAGUGACGACAUUUAUCGCCUCUAUUUAAGACCGAAACAGGAGGAAUUGUGGCAGUCGCCUGAUGAUGCCGGUUGUUGUAAUCACCGGCGAAACGUCAUAGUACUCGGAUGGUAAAUGUAGUGGGUUUACUCUCCAACACGCCGGUUAGUGCUGAAGCAGUAACAAAUUGCACGUUUUGUUUACGUGGCAAACCCUACUAAUUGGCUGUGUCGGGUGGUGGCGGAUUUAACAACACAUUUAUAUUUACGCGAUCUAACCCAAAGAAACCUCUAUUGUGAUUAAAAAUCUUAGCUUAGCUGCAUCACUGCGUGCAUAAUCCCCACACACGAACAGGGAUAACAUUCAAAGCCUGCAUCAAGUGUACGCACGUGUGAAUGUUGAACCUCUUUCGCGCCGUACUUCGGCAGUUGUGCUAAUCGGAGGUGCGGGACACUUAGUAGCUGCUUACUUGUGGUACUGCCUUCAAUAAAGGUGCCCCCCGGUCUGCUGCAAGCAAGGGUACCACCUAGCCAUGGUCCAUUGUCCGGGGCCGUGAGACGACUCUGCACUGCAGAGGGCAAGGGUCGGCAUGAUCCGUCCUCCCGCAACGGCGAGCACCGACUGUCGACCGAACCAACAAUUUGCAAGUUGACACCUGCGGCUCCGUCAAAGGGUAGUGGAGAAUGAGCGCCUCUCUCCUAGCCCCGUUACAGAGGCAGGCCGCAAGCAAGCGGCGCCACGGUGGCUAGGAGAUGUUAACCUCCUCACCUUGUAUGCAGGAGGGCGUGGGUUUGAUCCCGACCCUGACGCCUGCUUAAUAUUUGGAGUGUGCGUGUUCUCCCCGUGGUCACGUGGGUUUUAUUCUGGGUCCUCCGGUUUUUCCCUCCACAUUUAGAAUGAACGUGCAUUCAGAGUAUUUGGCUACUGCUAUAUAUUUCCAAGUGAUAAGCCACCUUGUUAAGCUAUCAUUUGUGGCCAGGUCGCUUCUGAAAAAGAGUUACAUAGCUCAGUGGGUCUUACCUGGUAAAAAAAUAAAAUAGUAUAUAUGCCCCGAACACUUCGUUCUGACACCGAGACGUUUUGUGGCACUGCAUGUUCCGUUUUUCACAUUGGUGCUCUCUGACCCCAGGGCACAGAUGCCCCGCCCACUUCGUUGCACCGCCGGAGUGCUUGUGCCACGCCCAUUUUUUAACCUUUAUAAACGGUUGCCUUUGGUGACCUUUCCCCUCUUUCCUCCUGAAGACGGUCGCUUGUGUUGUGAUCGAAACGUCGUGGUUUUUAUAUUUUUUACCAAAAGAACCAAGAAUAAGUCUACAUUAUAGACUGCCAGUACGCUCACUCAGGUUAAGAACCAGGCUACAGUCUACAUUAUAGACUGCCAGUAUUCUCACUCAAUUUAAUAACCAUUGCUACAGUCUACAUUAUAGACUGCCAAUACGCUCACCAAGCUUUAAAAACCAGACUACAGUCUACAUUGUAGACUGUCAGUUCACUUACCGAGGUUAAGAACCAGGCUACAGUCUACAUUAGUGUUUUUGUUUUUAUUACUUUUUUUAAUUCACUUUUAUUUUUUAUUAUUAUUUUUAUAUCUACGUGACUUUACCGAAAGAAACAAAGAAUAAAAAUAGUAAUCGUUUA